rnacentral:rRNA from 1 species
UACAGAGACUGCAAGCGUAUUCGGAUUCACUGGGCGUAAAGGGUGCGCAGGCGGCCAAGUGUGUGAGGCGUGAAAGCCCGGGGCUUAACCCCGGAAUGCACCUCAAACUACAUGGCUAGAGCAUUGGAGAGGGUAGCAGAAUUCAUGGUGUAGCAGUGAAAUGCGUAGAUAUCAUGAGGAAUACCAGAGGCGAAGGCGGCUCACUGGCCCGAUACU